rnacentral:lncRNA from 10 species
UAUAUAUAUGUAAGCUUGGGAAUCUGGCCCACUGGUUGGGUUUAAAAACUGUCUUCAGGGGAUCUUGAAUUCCUGUGGCACUCUGUGCUUUCCUCUAUGGUUGCACUCUCCCUAUGAAUUUUCUUUUUGUAUACUGUCUUUCUAGACUUAAAGCAGGGACUGUUUCUGGAUCCUUGUUUUGGAGGCCAAGAAAAACAAAUGAAAUAAAAAAAAAAACAACUCCAUCAACAUGAUUAUUGAACUCCUGGUGAUUUUGUCAAGCAGCAGGAAGCCAAGCACGGAUUUAGUCAGGUAACAGACAUGCUGGAAAAGCAAGUGAGCCUGGAAAGGAGGACAGAAUGUACUGGAAAAGGGAGAGAUGGGCUUCCAAGGAGCCACCUCGAAGCUACAGAGGCAGGAGUGGACAUUGAGAACAGAGAGCCUCCAGAGAAGAGCAGCUUUGUGCCUUGCCAUGAAAACCAUGAGAAUGGAAAGCAUGUAACAUCUCACUUACAGCUGACACAGAAGGGAAGUGACUCUGAAAUAUAGACCCUCUCAGCCUCUGGGGAAGAUUUAUGUGGCGAGGAUCACUCUCCUUAGAGUGAGACUGCAGCAGGAAAAAGGAAGAGACUUUGAGGUCAAAGGGAAGGAGGUGAACAGAGAUGGGAAAAGGCGUUGCAGGUCAACAAGUCCCAGGCUGUUGGACAGUGAUCCAGAAAGAGAGUGAGAGCUCAGAGGUGAGCCGCUGUGUGGGAGCUCCUGGAGAUACAAGAUACAAGGAGUGGGGAUUCCCAUUCCCCCAGGAUGCCAGCCAGAGCACCUGGACCCAGUGAGACCUCUGGGACAGUGGACAUCUCAGUAGUGACCAGAAGGUCUCUGGCCCUGCAAAAGCAUUUAGGAACUUGUCCACAAACUGGAACUUGUCCACAAAUUGUCCAAGACUGAGACAAUUCCUCCUGACAUGAAAGGGAUGGGAACUCACAAUUUGAUUUAAGUUGAUUCACAAAAAUAACAAGAUGUCAUAUUCCUCACUUCCUUAGUCUGUGGAUUAAGAUUCAUAUCUGCUACUCAUUUGACUGCCUACUACGUGUUAGGCAAUGCAGUAGGGUUUUCAAACAUGUUUUAUCAUGUAAACUUCAAAACAACACUCCUAUGGAUUUGAACCAGAUUUUACCUGACUCCAAAGUCUGUGAGUAUCUCUAAAAUAAGGAGAAUUAAAGGAAUUAAGUGUUAGAGUGUUCUUGCAUUUACAUUAUACAUGUGAAUUCACUGAAUCCUCACAGUCAACAUAAUAUAUUUUUAAGUAGAUGGACACUGCCUAAGGCCCCUGCUCUGGUUGUGACAUUAAUUUAUUCUCUGUUCUCUAAAUGGGUGCUGAAAGACUGGCCUCUACCGAAUGGCCUUACCCUCCCACAGUCAUGAGUUACACAUCCUUGUUCUAAAAGGUCAGCAGAGAUCAAGUCUGAGUUCCAGAUUUCUAGAAAAGAAACUCUGCUAAUUCUUGGCCCAAUCAGCUAUGCCAGUAGCAUGCGGUCAAACAGCAUAUCCAAUCAGAUUUUCUCUC